rnacentral:rRNA from 1 species
UACGGAGGGUGCAAGCGUUAUCCGGAUUCACUGGGUUUAAAGGGUGCGUAGGCGGGUAAGUAAGUCCGUGGUGAAAUCUCUGAGCUUAACUCAGAAACUGCCGUGGAUACUAUUUGCCUUGAAUAUUGUGGAGGUGAGCGGAAUAUGUCAUGUAGCGGUGAAAUGCUUAGAUAUGACAUAGAACACCAAUUGCGAAGGCAGCUCACUACACAAAUAUUGACACUGAGGCACGAAAGCGUGGGGAUCAAACAGG